AUUGAACGCUGGCGGCAUGCUUUACACAUGCAAGUCGAACGGCAGCGCGGGCUUCGGCCUGGCGGCGAGUGGCGAACGGGUGAGUAAUGCAUCGGAACGUGCCCAGUAGUGGGGGAUAGCCCGGCGAAAGCCGGAUUAAUACCGCAUACGACCUGAGGGUGAAAGCGGGGGACCGAAAGGCCUCGCGCUAUUGGAGCGGCCGAUGUCGGAUUAGCUAGUUGGUGGGGUAAAGGCUUACCAAGGCGACGAUCCGUAGCUGGUCUGAGAGGACGACCAGCCACACUGGGACUGAGACACGGCCCAGACUCCUACGGGAGGCAGCAGUGGGGAAUUUUGGACAAUGGGGGCAACCCUGAUCCAGCCAUGCCGCGUGCGGGAAGAAGGCCUUCGGGUUGUAAACCGCUUUUGUUCGGGAAGAAAUCCUCUGGGCUAAUACCCCGGGGGGAUGACGGUACCGGAAGAAUAAGUACCGGCUAACUACGUG
rnacentral:rRNA from 1 species